rnacentral:rRNA from 1 species
AACGCGAAGAACCUUACCUGGGCUCGAAGUGUAGUGGACCGGGGUGGAAACAUCCCUUCCCCGCAAGGGGCUGCUAUAUAGGUGCUGCAUGGCUGUCGUCAGCUCGUGUCGUGAGAUGUUGGGUUAAGUCCCGCAACGAGCGCAACCCUUAUUGCCAGUUGCCAUCAUUUAGUUGGGCACUCUGGCGAAACUGCCCCGGAUAACGGGGAGGAAGGUGGGGAUGACGUCAAGUCCUCAUGGCCUUUAUGUCCAGGGCUACACACGUGCUACAAUGGUCGGUACAAACCGUCGCAAACCCGCGAGGGGGAGCUAAUCGGAAAAAGCCGACCUCAGUUCGGAUUGGAGUCUGCAACUCGACUCCAUGAAGCUGGAAUCGCUAGUAAUCGCGGAUCAGCACGCCGCGGUGAAUACGUUCCCGGGCCUUGUACACACCGUACGUC